GAGCGUAGACGGGAUGUUAAGUCAGUUGUGAAAGGCUGCGGCUCAACCGCAGCACUGCAGUUGAUACUGGCGUCCUUGAGUCCGUUUGAGGUAUGUGGAAUUCGUGGUGUAGCGGUGAAAUGCUUAGAUAUCACGAAGAACUCCUAUUGCGAAGGCAGCAUACUAAGCCGGAACUGACGUUGAGGCUCGAAAGUGUGGGUAUCAAACAGGAUUAGAUACCCUGGUAGUCCACACGGUAAACGAUGAAUACUCGCUGUUGGCGAUACAAUGUCAGCGGCCAAGCGAAAGCAUUAAGUAUUCCACCUGGGGAGUACGCCGGCAACGGUGAAACUCAAAGGAAUUGACGGGGGCCCGCACAAGCGGAGGAACAUGUGGUUUAAUUCGAUGAUACGCGAGGAACCUUACCCGGGCUUAAAUUGCACUGGACAGGCGCAGAGAUGUGCUCUUCUUCGGACCAGUGUGAAGGUGCUGCAUGGUUGUCGUCAGCUCGUGCCGUGAGGUGUCGGCUUAAGUGCCAUAACGAGCGCAACCCUUGCCGUUAGUUACUAACAGGUCAUGCUGAGGACUCUAGCGGGACUGCCAUCGUAAGAUGUGAGGAAGGUGGGGAUGACGUCAAAUCAGCACGGCCCUUACGUCCGGGGCUACACACGUGUUACAAUGGGAGGUACAGAAGGCUGCUACCCGGCGACGGGAUGCCAAUCCCCAAAACCUCUCUCAGUUCGGAUUGGAGUCUGCAACCCGACUCCAUGAAGCUGGAUUCGCUAG
rnacentral:rRNA from 1 species